rnacentral:pre_miRNA from 1 species
UGGACAGAUUAUUGUAUUCAACUGUAUUCAUGGCGUGAAAUAGGGGAUUACAUUAUUUUUAAAACGGAAAGUGAAUCAAUUAACAUAAUAGACUUCU